UGGAAUGAUGAAAAGAUGCCACCACCUUACUAUUUACACGCAGGAAAUAACACAAGUCCACGUAACUUCGUAUGGCCCCUAUAAAUAGGAGUGCAGAGGAAAGGGUCUUUGCAUGACAUGAAUCCACUCGACAAUCCUAUUUAAAAAUGAAGGCGAUCAUCCUCAUUUGCGUUCUACUGGCCUCCCUUCUUUUCUCCUCCCCUUCAGUUAUUGUGGCUCGCAAACUACUAGCUGAUCAGGGAUCUACUGGAAGAACCGGGAACCGCAACAAUCCAGGAGGAUCAUGCGGGAGCCCUAGAGAUCCUCAAUAUAGUUCUUGCGUGGGAAGGCAAAGGCCCAUCAGGUGUGAGAAAAAAACCAUAUUUGGUCGUUGCCAGCCACCUCAAGGAACUUGAAUCAGUACUACCUAUUAUGGCAUGGUAAAAGUAUGCAUAAAGUUACAUGUAAUGCCGCGUGAAUAAAUAGGAUUUGGUGUUUGAUACCAUUAAUAUUGUGAUGGAGCUCGAUCUUCAUCAUUUGUAGUGUGAAAAUAUAAAUAUGUAAAAUAUACAUCUUGAUAUAUAUUUGAUGUGUACCAAUAAAAAAUCAGCCGACCGACUUAGUUUUGGUCAACUUGUUUUUCUUAUCAAGUACUCACUUUUUAUUUCUUUCGUUUUAAUGUUAUACAUCUAUUUCUUCACAAUGAUAUAAUGAUAUAUUACUAAUUCAGUCAAGAAUGGGCCAGUCUAUAUAUGGGUUCUCAAGACCAAGCCUAGUAUAGUAAAAGCCGAAACUCCUACAGAUUAAGCCCAUUUAACCAAUGUUAAGAUUUAAGGCCCAGGUAGGCACUCAUACUUGCGUGGCCCAAUAUACUGAUCUUGUAGCAGUAGUAGUAGUAAAGCCCUCUAAGCCCAAAUCUGCCUGGUCUUGAUAUUCUGGUUUAGAGGAUUUGACGCAUGAAAAUUUUUAGUUUGUAUGUAAAAGAUAUCGUGGAAGACACGCUUCAUAUUGCUAAUAUGCUGGAAGCUAGAUGAGGUUAUUUAUUAGGUAAAAGUGUAUGGAACAUUUUAUAGUUAAUGAUUGAAGCGUAUUAAAAGUAUUUUUUGUACUUGCUGAUCAGGUAAUAAGCUUCUAAAGUAAUGAUAGUAUAUAGAUUGUGUUAAUAAGUAGAUAUAUAAAUAAAUUUUAUAAUCGAUUAAUUAUCUUAGGGCUUCUCUCAAAUAUAGUUACAGUGACUCAAUAUUUCACUUCUAGCUAGGAUAUAAUUCUGUACGUGACACAUACUGAAUGAAUGAUAAUUGAAGAUUUCAGAUAUUAAUUAUCCAAGGCCAAAAUUUCCUCGGGCAUUGGUUGGCAUCGUUUAAUGGAACGUCCAUUGUCUCUAUUCUUCUAUGCGUGCUCACGACUUUGCAUAAUCAGACAAGCAUAUGACCAUAAUUUCCAUGAUGGUGUCUGGCUGCCUUACUUUUUGACUUGUGGUCAACUAUAAAAGCCUUAAUUUUAGUGAUAAUAUCUAGAUAUUUCUUCAGUCUUUUCAGAAUAAUGCAUCCCUGCUUCUUUAAUAAAGCCAGCCACAUGCAUCCCUUCCCCAUGACCUCCUCACUACUCUGUAGAUUGGUGAUUUGACUCGGUCAAGCUACCUUAACGUAGUGUACGUGUGUGUAUAUAUAUCACACAAUAGCCACGAACUUUCCAUUUGAUUAUUGAAAUUCUAUUUUAAAAAAAUGUGUAUGAUAAAAUGAAUAUAAUAUAAUAAAAAUGAGUAUUUAUGAUAAAAAAAAAUAAUUAUUUUGAUAAGAAAUAAUUGACCACAAAUUAAUAAGUAAUUUUCAUAUAAUGACGAGUAAUAAUAAUAUAGAAUAAAAGAUUGUCAUGAUAAUUAACAUUUGAUUUUUUUUUUUUUUUAAAGACAAUCCAUAAAAAUUGAUGAAGAAAAUGAGUCAGCAUUGACAGUUGUUUUCUCUACUUUUGUUUUUUAAUCACCAACAUGCAAGGCACCCGAUCUAGUCAAUUGCUAGGUCUUCUUGCUUUCACUUUUUAUUCAUAGAAAAUAAAUUUUCCAUCUUAUCUACCAAACUAAAGGUAGCCCGCCUUUUUGCUUUUUGAUACCACUACUCGAUGUUGGCCUGCUCGAUCUGACUGUAAGUGCGUGUUAUCAACUGAAGAAAUUUCCAACCACAUACUAUAAUUACAGAUGCACUUGAAUGGUACUGAUAAAUAGGAGUGUAGGAGUAAAAUGGCCUCUCAGCACAAGCCAUUACUCAGCCAUCAACAAAAUGAAGGCUAUAAUUCUUAUUUGCAUUCUCUUCACUUUCCUUCUUAUCUCGUCUCCUUCAAGUGCAGCUCGCAAACUGGCUGAAUAUCAGGGAGUUACUCGCGGAACCAAUAAUCCCAAGAAUCCAGCAGUACCAUGCGGGCGUGGCAAACCAUAUACUUCUUGCUUACCAAAGCAGCCGCCCCCCCAAGUGUAAACCAAUAUACACACGCGGUUGCAAGCCAUGACCUCAAGGACCUUGAAUCAGUACUAGUACUACUUAAUUAUUGUGGUUUGGUGAAAGUAUGAAUAAAUAGUACUAAAUUAAGUUACGAUCGAGUAGUACUCAUGUAUUCCUCUGAGAAUAAAUAGGAUUUGGUUUGACACCAUGAUUAAUAUUGUAAUGGAGCUCGUUCGAUCGAUAUUCGAACUUAAUUCCUUUGCAGUAUGGAAAUAUAUUAAAUGUAAAAUAUGCUAGAUGCAUCUUGAUCUUAUGCUGUACUGUUUGCCAAUAAAUUAAAAAUAAUCGAGAUCACCGACAUAGUUUUGGUCAUCUUGUUGUCCUA